UGUGAUAAUAUAGCCAUGCUGCCGUUCUUACGUUGUGGAUUCGGAGCGUGAUAAACAUUUCGAACUGCAGCACAAGAGGCUCAUCCACGAUCGCCGCGCGAGGAGAAAAAAAUUUGCUGCGGAAGAACUGAUCGUGCGUUUUCAUGCACUACAGUCGCUACAGUUCGACAUGGUUAACUUGCACCAAGUCGUCCAAUGUUCGGCUUUGCGAGCAACACACUAGGAUGACUGAAGGACGUAACACUUCUGGACGGGAAUUACAUGUUCAAGAAUUGUUUUGAAAUGUACAAGGAAGAUAUUGGCAUUCUCCUUGCGCCAUCAGCUGUUCAACAUCUGCGAGCUGCAAAGGCUCUCCUGUAUGACAAGGAAGCAGUAGACGCGGCAUUCGCAAUGCUCAUUUUAUGUGCUUCCAAGGGAUGCGGCCAAAGGACGACCUGCGGAUGUGCGAGUCACGUUUAUGGGAGCUGCAAAAAAGAAUUAAAGUGUAUCCCCAGUGUUUGUUA